CCAAAUCUCGGAACAUCCUCGGUUUGCGGUCCGUGAUCAUUCCAAUUUCCACUCUUCUCCCUGUCACUUCUAUAUCGGACUUUGGAGCCAUUUGAUUUGAUUAUUUAUCAUUCUCAUUUUAAGCAGCUCACCCCAGAAUUCUUAAACACAUAAAAGGGCUUUUCAUGGCGCAGUCUGAAGUUCAAUGCGGAUUCUUGAUGUUUGGUUCAGUUAAUGGACGAGAUUCGGAUGACUGACCAAACUCUAUGUUUGGCUUGGUCCUAAUAUCUCCUUAAGUAUUCAAAUGGCAAUGUUACCACUAUCAUCUGUGCUACAAUCAUGCUACCUUGGCCGGGGAACUGCUGGGUCAUCCAAGUCAGUUGCUUGUGCUCGCGGUUGCCAUAGUGAAAGAGUAGUAUGCGGUCUAAGGAAUGUGGAUGCAGUACAGAAACCGUUCUACUGGAAUGGCGGAAAUUUUACUCAAAAAAUUUCUAGUACACCGUACGGUCUAAUGGUGGUGGCAGCAACAGCAGCAGAUACUUCUGUUAUACAAACUGCUGGACAAGUGUCAAAAUAUCUCUUCAGAACCGAGACCACUGGCCUAGUGAAGGUGUCUGUUGAUAAGAGGAAUAGUAAGUAUGGAGUACAAAUUCAAGUUUUACCGUCAGAGCUUGAUGGCAGACUCGGUGAGCUGGUUAUGAUAUGGGGAUUAUUUAGGUCUGAUUCCCAAUCUCUUAUGUCUUUGGAUUCACAAGGUGUUGGGACAAGCAAUAAGCAGAGUACUGUUGAAACAGUAUUUCAAUCUAAAUCUUCUGGCAAGCUUGUUGAGUUGGAUUUUGAACUAAGCUUAGCUCCCUUCUAUCUUUCUUUCUUUCUGAAGUCUGAAUUGGCUUCUGAAGUUAAUAACUCAGAAAUCAAAAGCCACAGGAAGACAAAUUUUGUCGUACCAAUUGGGUUUAGUUCUGGACAUCCUGCUCCACUGGGCCUAUCUUUUCUCUCAGAUGGUUCUGUUAAUUUUGCAGUUCUCUCACGCAGUUCCGAAAGUGUAGUCUUGUGUUUGUAUGAUGACAUGAGAAAAGAAAAACCUGUUAUAGAGCUUGAUCUGGAUCCUUAUGUGAAUCGAUCAGGUGAUAUUUGGCAUGCCUCAAUAGAUGGCUCUUUGCCGUUUGUGGGCUAUGGUUACCGCUGCAAGGGGGCCACUGCUGAGAAGACAGAACAUGUUCUGUUAGAUCCAUAUGCAAAGAUCAUUGUGGAUUAUAAUCCUCCCGGGGAAGGAUUUAACUUAGUUCCAAGAUGUCUUGGACAACUAUGCAAGAAACCUGCAUUUGAUUGGAGCAAUGAUAUCCGACCUAACAUACCGAUGGAGACACUAGUAGUUUAUCAUUUGAAUGUUUGUAAUUUCACAAAGGACAAGUCCAGCAAGUUACCUGCUCAGGUUGCAGGAACCUUCUCUGGUAUUACUGAAAAAUUGCAGCAUUUCAAGGAUAUUGGUGUGAAUGCAAUCUUAUUAGAGCCUAUUUUCCCUUUUGAUGAACAGAAAGGACCAUAUUUUCCUAUGCAUUUCUUUUCACCUGGGCACUUAUGUGGGCCUCCUGGUGAUCCUUCUUCCGUUAUUAAUUCUAUGAAACAGAUGGUCAAGGAAGUCCACGCCAAUGGGAUAGAGGUUUUUCUACAGGUUGUUUUCACCCACACAGCAGAGGGUGCAUCGUUGUUGCAUAUUGAUAAGUCUUCCUAUUAUUAUCUUGAAGGUGAUAUGGGCAUGAAAUCUGGAAAUUCAUUAAAUUGCAAUUACCCUCCGGUCCAACAAAUGAUUUUGGACAGCCUCCGGCAUUGGGUGGUGGAAUAUCAUAUUGAUGGUUUUUGUUUUGUUAAUGCUUCUUUCUUGACAAGAGGAUUCCAUGGCGAGUUCCUGACUCACCCUCCUUUAAUUGAGGCAAUUGCUUUUGAUCCUUUACUUUCGAAGGUGAAGUUGAUUGCAGAUUUUUGGGAUCCUGUUGAGAAGACGUCAAAGGAAAUUAUAUUCCCUCAUUGGAAGAGAUGGGCAGAGAUAAAUUCAAAAUUCUGUGAUGAUGUUAGGAACUUCUUGAGGGGUAAUGGUUCUCUCAGCAAGCUAGCAACACGUCUUUGUGGAAGUGGUGAUGUUUUCUCUGGUGGGCGAGGCCCUGCAUUUUCUUUAAAUUAUAUUGCCAGAAACUUUGGACUUCCCCUUGUAGAUUUAGUCAGCUUUAGUAGCCGUGAAGUGGCUUCAGAAUUAAGCUGGAACUGUGGGGAGGAAGGUCCUACAAACAAAAAUGCUGUCCUAGAAAGACGACUUAAACAGAUCCGUAAUUUUCUCUUCAUAUUGUUCAUUUCUCUUGGUGUUCCGGUUCUUAACAUGGGAGAUGAGUGUGGUCGGUCUUCAGGGGGCUCCCCUGCAUAUUGUGAUCGGAAGCCUUUUGACUGGAAUGCUUUAAGAACUGGUUUUGGUGUUCAGACAACGCAGUUUAUUUCAUUCUUGAGCAAGCUAAGAACGAGAAGAAGUGACCUUCUUCAGAAGGUAGAUUUCUUGGAUGAAGAAAACAUCGAAUGGCAUGGAAGUGACCAAUCUCCGCCUAGAUGGGUUGACCCAUCUAACAAAUUUCUGGCAAUGACUUUAAAAGCAGACACUGGCGAAAUUGAAUCAAGCACUGCCUCUGAUCUACCCGGACACCUUUUUGCUGCCUUCAAUAGUGCUGACCAUUCAGAGAGCGUUGUCCUUCCCCCACUGCCGGCAGGCAUGGCGUGGUAUCGCCUGGUUGAUACAGCCCUUCCUUUUCCAGGGUUUUUUAGCGAGAAGGGAACUCCGAUUGAGGAUGGAUCAGCUACAUAUGAGAUGAAGUCUCACAGCUGUAUGCUCUUGGAAGCGAAACGCACAAAUGGCUGAAACUCAUCCAUAUGCUCUUGUAUGAAAAAAUUUCAUUCCUCUACAAUACUAGUGCUUAGUUAAGGUACGAAGUGGGCCAGGGGGACUGAUGAUAACGGGGCCGAGCCAUACCUUUCCCUGCAACAUGCAACGGGGGCCAAAAAAGUUGCCGCUGUUGACAGCCUGUAUGUGGUAAUAACC